rnacentral:rRNA from 1 species
ACGUUCGGAUUGUAGGCUGAAACUCGCCUACAUGAAGCUGGAAUUGCUAGUAAUCACAGGUCAGCAUACUGUGGUGAAUACGUUCCCGGGCCUUGUACACACCGCCCGUCACACCAUGAGAGUUGAGAAUACCCGAAGCCCAUGUCAAAGUGGUCGAAGGUAGGCUUGAUGAUUGGGGUGAAGUCGUAACAAGGUAAC